ensembl:snoRNA SNORD115 Small nucleolar RNA SNORD115
GUACCAUGAUUUGAAUGAAUGUUGAUGUCCUGAGGACGUGUGAUAACAUAAAAAUCAUGUUCAUAAGGAUUACAUUGGGGCCC